rnacentral:rRNA from 1 species
UCGGGCCUCAUGCCAUCAGAUGUGCCCAGAUGGGAUUAGCUAGUAGGUGGGGUAACGGCUCACCUAGGCGACGAUCCCUAGCUGGUCUGAGAGGAUGACCAGCCACACUGGAACUGAGACACGGUCCAGACUCCUACGGGAGGCAGCAGUGGGGAAUAUUGCACAAUGGGCGCAAGCCUGAUGCAGCCAUGCCGCGUGUGUGAAGAAGGCCUUCGGGUUGUAAAGCACUUUCAGCGGGGAGGAAGGCGANAAGGUUAAUAACCUUGUCGAUUGACGUUACCCGCAGAAGAAGCACCGGCUAACUCCGUGCCAGCAGCCGCGGUAAUACGGAGGGUGCAAGCGUUAAUCGGAAUUACUGGGCGUAAAGCGCACGCAGGCGGUCUGUCAAGUCGGAUGUGAAAUCCCCGGGCUCAACCUGGGAACUGCAUUCGAAACUGGCAGGCUAGAGUCUUGUAGAGGGGGGUAGAAUUCCAGGUGUAGCGGUGAAAUGCGUAGAGAUCUGGAGGAAUACCGGUGGCGAAGGCGGCCCCCUGGACAAAGACUGACGCUCAGGUGCGAAAGCGUGGGGAGCAAACAGGAUUAGAUACCCUGGUAGUCCACGCCGUAAACGAUGUCGAUUUGGAGGUUGUGCCCUUGAGGCGUGGCUUCCGGAGCUAACGCGUUAAAUCGACCGCCUGGGGAGUACGGCCGCAAGGUUAAAACUCAAAUGAAUUGACGGGGGCCCGCACAAGCGGUGGAGCAUGUGGUUUAAUUCGAUGCAACGCGAAGAACCUUACCUGGUCUUGACAUCCACAGAACUUAGCAGAGAUGCUUUGGUGCCUUCGGGAACUGUGAGACAGGUGCUGCAUGGCUGUCGUCAGCUCGUGUUGUGAAAUGUUGGGUUAAGUCCCGCAACGAGCGCAACCCUUAUCCUUUGUUGCCAGCGGUUAGGCCGGGAACUCAAAGGAGACUGCCAGUGAUAAACUGGAGGAAGGUGGGGAUGACGUCAAGUCAUCAUGGCCCUUACGACCAGGGCUACACACGUGCUACAAUGGCAUAUACAAAGAGAAGCGACCUCGCGAGAGCAAGCGGACCUCAUAAAGUAUGUCGUAGUCCGGAUUGGAGUCUGCAACUCGACUCCAUGAAGUCGGAAUCGCUAGUAAUCGUAGAUCAGAAUGCUACGGUGAAUACGUUCCCGGGCCUUGUACACACCGCCCGUCACACCAUGGGAGUGGGUUGCAAAAGAAGUAGGUAGCUUAACCUUCGGGAGGGCGCUUACCACUUUGUGAUUCAUGACUGGGGUGAAGUCGUAACAAGGUAACCGUAGGGGAACCUGCGGUUG